rfam:TPA: Bos taurus chromosome 26, whole genome shotgun sequence.
UCCCUAGUGGCUCAGACGGUAAAGUGUCUGUCCGCAAUGCAGGAGACCCAGAUUCGAUCCCUGGGUUGGGAA